UGUAAAAAUCCUUAUUUACC
rnacentral:tRNA from 1 species